ensembl:lncRNA
GUCAUAAUGUCCAGCCCACACUCAGUGGGAGAAAUUACACAAGGGCAUGGACACUUGGAGGCUGUGAUCAUCGGGAGCCAUCGGGGGGGCUACCACGUCUACUAUGUGCAGGCGCUAUGCUUUCCUGGAGAUGCCACAGUAAAUGAGAUGCAAUCCCUAUCUUCAAGGAACUCUUAAGGAAGUUCAAGUUGUGGGGGAUAUGGAGAAGUAAACUGGAGGUGUCACAUGUGCUACGACAAAGUUACAGAGGCUAUGUGAGCACAGAGGCAGGGAGACCUACCCUGGACCAGGAAUGAAAGCUCCUGUGUGGGCCGUGUCAAGUCCUGAGCUUUCCAGAUGAUCAGGACUGGGCCACCGGGGCCAGCACCAUUUCAUUGACUGGAACCACGCUAGUUUUAAAUGACUUUGCCAGCCCAGCGCUGGGAUUCCAAAGUCCUCCAGAGAGGGAAUGAGAGCUUCAUACUGUUCCCAUAUUGUCAAGAGCAAAACUGAGAUCAAAGAUAAAGAAAACAGCACGGAAGCAUUGGGCAUUAUCACAGCAUGGCAGGGAGAGGAUCUGUUCUGGGUGAUAAACAGCUGGGACCAGGGAGUAUCCAGAGAAACUUCUUCACUGCUGGCAAGAGGAUAAAGUGACCCCUUCAUAUAUCAAGAAACAUCUUAGGAAACAAAGGGGAGAUGAUAUCAGAGAGACCAAAAUUCAUCUGAGUACACUGACUCAUCUGAAAGGGAACAACUGAAGGAGCCUCGAAAGGGAAUUUGAUACUGAAAAGACUGAGUGUCUAAGUGGAUGUUUUCCAAGGGAUGGGACUGAAAGAGUAUUAUUACUCAAGCCUCAGUUUUCCCAGUUACCUAGCUGGGCAGGGGCCCACGAAGAGCAGAGCGUUUUUGAGGAAUAAGCUUCAUUUUCCCUGCACGACUGAUUGUGGCGUAACAGAACAACCCUGAUACAUACGGAUAAAAAUAAAGUCAUCAACUUUCAAAUACUUUCAUCUUAAGUGAACAGCUUUAAAAUGGUCAUGAAGCCUUUUGAAACUUUUCAGUUGUCUUUUGAAUCUUUUACAGAAAUACCCUGAGGACAAGCCUCCUUCUUGUACUGUCCAUCUGGUAUCCAGCAAAGAGGCAGUAAGGGACCCUGAGCGCCUACAGCACAGCAGUCAAGCAGAUAUGGGAACUUCAGCACCACUUGGGGACACUAGUCCAAAUAUUGAUGAGCAAAAGGCCCUGAGAAAUUUAGUUUUUGGGGAACAUUUCCCAGUGGGAGGGCUCAAAGUCUCUGGAAUUCAAGGCUUCUGCAGACAGUGACAUCCCUUCCUCUGGGGAUGCUUUCUGAAUAAGGGAGAUAUGUACUCAUGUGACCAAGACGAUUUUGGUGCAGAUUGUUAUGGGCACAGGGGAACGGCCUAGGUGACCUUCCAGGGGUCUCAUACCUAACCCGUGAUUCUGUAAGUAAUGAGUUGACAGAAAAUUGCAUACUGUAUUUGGUCUGCCAUCUGCUGUUUCCCCAAUGCUGGCUGAUAAAGGCAUGGCUGUGUAGGGAGAAGGUGAGCUGUAAUUAAUUAUCUAUGGCAUUGAUGAAUUUCUUGUAAGCUAUUCCCCUGCUAAUCCAGCAAUAUAGCUGCAUCCAUCCCCCCCUCCCAGUGUUAACGGUCUAUUUAUGGACUUGGCUCCUUAAUUAAAUGUUUCAUUUGCAAGAAAAUGGUUCCUAGGAAAAUCCAAGCUCUCUUUAUGUGCCUGCAAUCGGCUAUUGCAGACAUUACAUAAGAGAUUAGUCCAUGUUGGCCUGCUGCUCUUAGCUUUCUGGAUAAUCUAAUGUAUUAUGUUUCUGGUAUAUGUAAAUUACUAAAUGUAAUAUUCUUCAAUAUGCCUGCUGAAUGAAGCCAAAUGUAUUGUGGGCAUAAUUUUAAUUAUUUAUAUGCUAUAAAAAUGGAAGAAAUCAGAAUUACAGAAAUAGGGUUCUAAAACCCCUCUGUUUUUCUUUUGGGCAACAGUUUAAUCAGAUUAAAACCAUAAUUGUUUUUAAACUCUUGCCUCACAGUUGUUUUGGCCAUCUCUUUUGUCAGCAUGUGGCUGUGCCCCCAUGAAGCUAUUUAAGGUCAAC